rnacentral:rRNA from 1 species
CGCCUCUUGAAAAAAUAUAAGAGGUCCAGCCUGCCCAGUGACCUAGUUCAACGGCCGCGGUAUCCUAACCGUGCGAAGGUAGCGUAAUCACUUGUUCUUUAAAUAAGGACUAGUAUGAAUGGCACCACGAGGGUUUAACUGUCUCCUUUUUCCAAUCAGUGAAACUAAUCUCCCCGUGAAGAAGCUGGGAUUUUUUUAUAAGACGAGAAGACCCUAUGGAGCUUUAAACUAUUUUACACCUGCUGCCCACAAACCAACUUCCAGAAAUUAACCCUAAAGCAUGGCACUUUGAUUAAUAGUUUUUGAUUGGGGUGAUCGCGGAGUAAAAAAUAACCUCCACGACGACAAGGAUUCUUCCUGAGCCAUAAGCCACAACUUUAAGCACUAAUAUUAUUAACGGCUAUUGACCCAAUAAUUUUGAUCAACGAACCAAGUUACCCUAGGGAUAACAGCGCAAUCCACUUCAAGAGCUCCUAUCGACAAGUGGGUUUACGACCUCGAUGUUGGAUCAGGGUAUCCUAGUGGUGCAGCCGCUACUAACGGUUCGUUUGUUCAACGAUUAAAACCCUA